rnacentral:lncRNA from 13 species
CCAGUCAGAAGAGAGGGAAAUGCAACUUGAGAUAAGAACACAAUUGUGUAGUAAUGGCAGGGAGGGGCUGAGAAUAUAUUGCAGCAAAGAGAAACAGUGAUGCCCAAGUUCGUUUCCAGAGAGAGAAAAAUACAUAUUAUAUUUGCUUUUACUUGCAUGAAAAAAGAAAACUGUGGAAGACUCAAGGGAUGAUCAGAUUUUCCUGAAGAUGUGGAGCAACUUCAAGGGGAAGAUCUGAGUCCUGUUGGUGGCAGGGAGAGGAGUCCAAGGUUCACCAAAGAGGAAGCUUGGAAUAAGCAGCUUGAGGCCCCAUUUCUACCACAAUUGCCUACACAGUGUGGGGUCUACCACGUUUAUACCAGAGAAAAGAAUUUAAUCUAUAUUGCUGGGAGAAUGGUGAACUGGCACACAAUUAGCUUACAAGAUUGACUCGGUUUCAAGAAGAAAAAUGGAG